GACGAACGCUGGCGGCGUGCUUAACACAUGCCAGUCGAACGCUGAAGCACCAGCUUGCUGGUGUGGAUGAGUGGCGAACGGGUGAGUAAUACGUGAGUAACCUGCCCUUGACUCUGGGAUAAGCCCGGGAAACUGGGUCUAAUACUGGAUGCUACAUGUCACCGCAUGGUGGUGUGUGGAAAGGGUUUACUGGUCUUGGAUGGGCUCACGGCCUAUCAGCUUGUUGGUGAGGUAAUGGCUCACCAAGGCGACGACGGGUAGCCGGCCUGAGAGGGUGACCGGCCACACUGGGACUGAGACACGGCCCAGACUCCUACGGGAGGCAGCAGUGGGGAAUAUUGCACAAUGGGCGAAAGCCUGAUGCAGCGACGCCGCGUGAGGGAUGACGGCCUUCGGGUUGUAAACCUCGUUCAGCAGGGAAGAAGCCACAAGUGACGGUACCUGCAGAAGAAGCGCCGGCUAACUACGUG
rnacentral:rRNA from 1 species